GAGUUUGAUCUUGGCUCAGAUUGAACGCUGGCGGCAUGCCUUACACAUGCAAGUCGAACGGCAGCAUGAUCUAGCUUGCUAGAUUGAUGGCGAGUGGCGAACGGGUGAGUAAUACAUCGGAACGUGCCCUGUAGUGGGGGAUAACUAGUCGAAAGAUUAGCUAAUACCGCAUACGACCUGAGGGUGAAAGUGGGGGACCGCAAGGCCUCAUGCUAUAGGAGCGGCCGAUGUCUGAUUAGCUAGUUGGUGGGGUAAAGGGCCCACCAAGGCGACGAUCAGUAGCUGGUCUGAGAGGACGAUCAGCCACACUGGGACUGAGACACGGCCCAGACUCCUACGGGAGGCAGCAGUGGGGAAUUUUGGACAAUGGGCGAAAGCCUGAUCCAGCAAUGCCGCGUGUGUGAGAAGGCCUC
rnacentral:rRNA from 1 species